rnacentral:Y_RNA from 1 species
GACUGGUCUGAUGGUAGUGGGUUAUCAGAAUUUAUUAACAUUAGUGUCACUAAAGUUAGUAUACAGCCCUCCACUGCUAAAUUUGACUGGCUUAA